AUUGAACGCUGGCGGCAGGCCUAACACAUGCAAGUCGAACGGUAGCACAGAGAGCUUGCUCUCGGGUGACGAGUGGCGGACGGGUGAGUAAUGUCUGGGAAACUGCCCGAUGGAGGGGGAUAACUACUGGAAACGGUAGCUAAUACCGCAUAACGUCGCAAGACCAAAGUGGGGGACCUUCGGGCCUCACACCAUCGGAUGUGCCCAGAUGGGAUUAGCGAGUAGGUGGGGUAAUGGCUCACCUAGGCGACGAUCCCUAGCUGGUCUGAGAGGAUGACCAGCCACACUGGAACUGAGACGCGGUCCAGACUCCUACGGGAGGCAGCAGUGGGGAACAUUGCACAAUGGGCGCAAGCCUGAUGCAGCCAUGCCGCGUGUAUGAAGAAGGCCUUCGGGUUGUAAAGUACUUUCAGCGGGGAGGAAGGCGGUGGAGUUAAUAACUUCACCGAUUGACGUUACCCGCAGAAGAAGCACCGGCUAACUCCGUGCCAGCCGCCGCCGUAA
rnacentral:rRNA from 1 species